AGAGUUGAUCUGGCUCAGGAUGAACGCUAGCGGCAGGCCUAACACAUGCAAGUCGCGGGGCAGCACGGGUAGCAAUACCUGGUGGCGACCGGCGGAUGGGUGCGUAACGCGUAUGCAACCUACCUAUACAGGGGAAUAACCUUUCGAAAGGGAGACUAACACCCCAUGGUAUUGAUUUAAGGCAUCUUAGAUUAAUUAAAUAUUUAUAGGUAUAAGAUGGGCAUGCGUAUGAUUAGCUAGUUGGUAAGGUAACGGCUUACCAAGGCGACGAUCAUUAGGGGUUCUGAGAGGAAGGUCCCCCACACUGGUACUGAGACACGGACCAGACUCCUACGGGAGGCAGCAGUGAGGAAUAUUGGUCAAUGGGCGCAAGCCUGAACCAGCCAUGCCGCGUGCAAGGAAGACGGCCUUAUGGGUUGUAAACUGCUUUUACAUAAGACUAACCGUAUAUUUGCGAAUAUACCUGAAUGUAUUAUGAGAAUAAGGAUCGGCUAACUCCGUGCCAGCCGCCGC
rnacentral:rRNA from 1 species